GGUGUUUUUUGGGUGACGCACCCCAGAAUUGAGCUCCCUCCUCUCUGGAUCCAGGUGUGUCACCUGAGAACCACA
rfam:Myotis davidii contig324003, whole genome shotgun sequence.